GGAUAUGGUGCAACGGUAGCAUCUGAGUCUUCCAAACUCGCGAUACGGGUUCAAAUCCUGUCAGGACUACCA
rnacentral:tRNA from 1 species